CGCCCAUUUCCUCACGCCUUUCCCCUCCUUCCGUCCUUCCUCGCCCCACCGUCGUCGCGGCUCCAGCUAGGGUUUCUCGCCCCCGCCGGGCCCGUCCGCCAUGUCGAAGCAAGGAGGGAAGGCCAAGCCGCUCAAGCAGGCCAAGGUCGCCGAGAAGGACUACGACGAGAAUGACCUGGCAUACCUCCAGAAGAAGAAGGAUGAGCAAAAGGCCCUGAAGGAGCUGAAGGCCAAGGCUGGCCAGAAGGGUGCGCUGGGAGGAUCUGGUCUCAAGAAGAGUGGGAAGAAAUGAGUCUGCCUGCCCAUUCGUAAUGCCCAGAAAAUGAUAAUCUAUCUAUCUACCUAUCUGUGUCGCGCUUCACUAUCUGUGGUUGUAACAGACUACCUUCAGUUGUGUUGAGCAUUAUGCAUCGUCGCAGUCGGUUGCUGAAACCUAUGGUAUUCCAGCAGCCUCUUCUGCUUAUCUGUGAUACAGAUGGUCCGUAGCUAAUAAUGACAUGACGUAAUUUGUGAUGAAA